GCUAACUGCGCAUUCCGGACGAUGCUACAGGGUUGAAGUAGAGAAAGCCGCAGCUCUGGGGGCCACGGGGGCCACGGUGCAGGCGGCUGGCACAGCUGGCACAGCGUGCCAUGGUCAGAAGUCCCACGUGACCGGCCUCGGGGGCUACCGUCGAGGCGACCCAGAGCUGAGGUCCUGCUCUGCCGAGAAUCCGUUUCCCGGCCCUUUCUGGCUUCCAGAGGCCCCUCGAAGCAGCAACACCGCAUCACUCUGGCCAGUCCUCCACAUCAUAUCUCCCUCCACCUCUUCUGUGCCCUCUGCCACAGGACGGCCUGCCUCAAGUCCACCAACCAGGGAGCUUCUCAGGGGGCCUCAAGGCCCCUGCCGCCUUGUGGGGGCUCCCAGCUUCCUGUGUCCCGCCCCCCACCCACACAGCAGCCCCACAGCCUUGGGCAUUCCUGCUUUCCGCAGAGCCUGGCAUUCUCUGCUCCCAGCCCAGGCCAUCACUCACCACCACCCCUCCCCAGGCCUAGAGUCCACAGAAGCUUUGU